rnacentral:rRNA from 1 species
AGUGAACGCUGGCGGUAGGCCUAACACAUGCAAGUCGAACGGCAGCACAGUAAGAGCUUGCUCUUACGGGUGGCGAGUGGCGGACGGGUGAGGAAUACAUCGGAAUCUACUUUUUCGUGGGGGAUAACGUAGGGAAACUUACGCUAAUACCGCAUACGACCUACGGGUGAAAGCAGGGGAUCUUCGGACCUUGCGCGAUUGAAUGAGCCGAUGUCGGAUUAGCUAGUUGGCGGGGUAAAGGCCCACCAAGGCGACGAUCCGUAGCUGGUCUGAGAGGAUGAUAGCCAACACUGGAACUGAGACACGCCCAAGCCUCCUAGGGGGGGAGGCGGGGGGAAAUGUGGGACAAGGGGCGCAGGCCUGACCCACCAACCCGGGGGGGGGAAAAAGGGCGUUGGGGUGGAAAACCCGUUUUUUGGAAAAAAAAAAGCAGAGGUUUAACCCCCGGUUUUUCUGACGUACCCAAAAAAAAAAGCCCGGGCUAACUCCGGG